GGAUUAUGGUGGCGGCAGGCCUAACACAUGCAAGUCGAGCGAGCGGCGGACGGGUGAGUAAUGUCUGGGAAACUGCCUGAUGGAGUGGGAUAACUACUGGAAACGGUAGCUAAUACCGCAUACCAUCAGAUGUGCCCAGAUGGGAUUAGCUUGUAGGUGGGGUAACGGCUCACCUAGGCGACGAUCCCUAGCUGGUCUGAGAGGAUGACAAGCCACACUGGAACUGAGAAACGGUCCAGACUACUACGGGAGGCAGCAGUGGGGAAGAUUGCACAAUGGGCGCAAGCCUGAUGCAGCCAUGCCGCGUGAGUGAAGAAGGCCUUAGGGUUGUAAAGCACUGUCAGCGGGGAGGCGUUAACCGCAGAAGAAGCACCGGCUAACUCCGUGCCAGAAGCCGAGGUAAUAC
rnacentral:rRNA from 1 species